GAUGAACGCUAGCGGCAGGCUUAAUACAUGCAAGUCGUGGGGCGGCAGGUUUGUAGCAAUACAGAUGCUGGCGACCGGCAAACGGGUGCGGAACACGUACAGAACCUUCCUUUGAGCGGGGAAUAGCCCAGAGAAAUUUGGAUUAAUACCCCAUAGUAUAAUGAAGUGGCAUCACUUUAUUAUUAAAGAUUUAUCACUCGAAGAUGGCUGUGCGGCUGAUUAGGUAGUUGGCGGGGUAAAGGCCCACCAAGCCUGCGAUCAGUAACUGGUGUGAGAGCACGACCAGUCACACGGGCACUGAGACACGGGCCCGACUCCUACGGGAGGCAGCAGUAAGGAAUAUUGGUCAAUGGAGGCAACUCUGAACCAGCCAUGCCGCGUGGAGGAUGAAGGUCCUCUGGAUUGUAAACUUCUUUUAUAUGGGACGAAAAAAGGCUUUUCUAAGUCGUCUGACGGUACCAUAUGAAUAAGCACCGGCUAACUCCGUGCCAGCAG
rnacentral:rRNA from 1 species